rnacentral:lncRNA from 10 species
AGAAGACUUCACAAUUUAAUGCCUCAGUUUUUAAAAAAGGAUCCUUACACUUCAUGUCUCCUAGCCAUCAGAAGAGGAAUGAGACAGCAAAAGUUCAAAUGGCCUGUUUCAAGUUUCUGAUAUAAAACGAUGACAUUUUCAGGAAAAUCCUGCUCUGCUUCCUCAUAGCUGCUUUCCAGAACGUGACUCUUGCAAAUUAUCAAGAAAGGGGAACUAAUCUAAGGGAUCCAGAUCAAACAGCCUCAUGAAGACUUAUUUUAUGUUUCUAAUAUAAAGAUAGAAGUUUUCAGAAAAGCCCUGCUACACAGAGGAUCAGAGCAGGGGUGGGCCUGCUGGGCUGCAGCUGGGAUUCUGAGCAUCCUUUCCCGGAGGCACGGAAAGUGAGUGAGUGAGCCCAGUGAGGAAGAAGUUGAAGCUUUGAUAUGAGUAAACAAGUAUCUCUACCUGAAAUGAUUAAAGACUGGACCAAAGAGCAUGUGAAAAAAUGGGUAAAUGAAGACCUUAAGAUUAAUGAGCAAUACGGGCAAAUUCUGCUCAGUGAAGAAGUAACAGGAUUAGUCCUGCAGGAAUUAACUGAGAAGGACCUUGUAGAAAUGGGGCUACCAUGGGGUCCAGCACUUUUGAUAAAACG